GAUGAACGCUGGCGGCGUGCCUAAUACAUGCAAGUCGAGCGAACAGACGAGGAGCUUGCUCCUCUGACGUUAGCGGCGGACGGGUGAGUAACACGUGGAUAACCUACCUAUAAGACUGGGAUAACUUCGGGAAACCGGAGCUAAUACCGGAUAAUAUAUUGAACCGCAUGGUUCAAGAGUGAAAGAGGGUUUUGCCGUCACUUAUAGAUGGAUCCGCGCCGCAUUAGCUAGUUGGUAAGGUAACGGCUUACCAAGGCAACGAUGCGUAGCCGACCUGAGAGGGUGAUCGGCCACACUGGAACUGAGACACGGUCCAGACUCCUACGGGAGGCAGCAGUAGGGAAUCUUCCGCAAUGGGCGAAAGCUUGACGGAGCAACGCCGCGUGAGUGAUGAAGGUCUUCGGAUCGUAAAACUCUGUUAUUAGGGAAGAACAAAUGUGUAAGUAACUAUGCACGUCUUGACGGUACCUAAUCAGAAAGCCACGGCUAACUACGUG
rnacentral:rRNA from 1 species